rnacentral:rRNA from 1 species
AUUGAACGCUGGCGGCAGGCCUAACACAUGCAAGUCGAGCGAGCGGCGGACGGGGGAGUAAGGUCUGGGAAACUGCCUGAUGGAGGGGGAGAACUACGGGAAACGGUAGCUAAUACCGCAUACCAUCAGAUGGGCCCAGUUGGGAAUAGCUAGUAGGGGGGGGAACGGCUCACCUAGGCGACGAUCCCUAGCUGGUCUGAGAGGAUGACCAGCCACACUGGAACGGAGACACGUUCCAGACUCCUACGGGAGUCAGCAGUGGGGACUAUUGCACAAUGGGCGCAAUCCUGAUGCAGCCAUGCCGCGUGUGUGAAGAAGGCCUUCGGGUUGUAAAGCACUUUCAGCGGGGAGGCGUUACCCGCAGAAGAAGCACCGGCUAACUCCGUGCCAGCAGCCGCGGUAAUUC